rnacentral:rRNA from 1 species
AAAAAAAACUUUCUUAAAAAUAAAAAUUAAAUUUUUUUUAAUUUGUGCAAAAACAAUUAUUGUUAUUAAAGACAAGAAGACCCUAAGAAUUUACGAUUUUACAAUUAGAAAGUUUUUUUUUUUAAAAUCUUGGUUGGGGCGAUCAAAAAAUAUCAAUAACUUUUUAAAAUUUAAAUUGACCUAUUAUUAAUAAACUAAUGAAUUAAAUACUCUAGGGAUAACAGCGUAAUAAUUUUUGAUAGAUCUUAUUGACAAAAUAGUUUGCGACCUCGAUGUUGGAUUAGGAUUCUUUUUUAAUGAAGAUGU